GCCGGGCGCGGUGGCGCGCGCCUGUAGUCCUAGCUACUCGGGAGGCUGAGGCAGGAGGAGCGCUUGAGUCCAGGAGUUCUGGGCUGCAGUGCGCUAUGCCGAUCGGGUGUCCGCACUAAGUUCGGCAUCAAUAUGGUGACCUCCCGGGAGCGGGGGACCACGGGUUGCCUAAGGAGGGGUGAACCGGCCCAGGUCGGAUGUGGCUGAGCAGAAGAUUAUCCUGAAUCAUCCCAGUUCCAUUUAUCUCAUCACUUGGGUCUCAUUGCAAAUCCCAGGCCAGUCAGAGGAAGGAGACAGUACACUAACCCU
rnacentral:sRNA from 1 species